CCAAGAUCAAGUGACGCUGCCCUGCCACCCACGUCGGCGCUAACUCAGGAGUUCCCCUCGUGAUUCAUGUGAUGCGACGGACAGACGGACGGAUGGGACGACGGCGGCGGCUCUCCCUGAUCUAGUCUCGUCAGGUACCGGGGGCAACCUGAACAUGCAGUUCGCCAGUUUUGCAAUGAAGCUAGCUGGUUCAUCAUCAAAACUAAGUGCGUGAGCACGACAACUUAGAGGUGUAUUUUAUUUUGUAAUAGAUAGAAACUUGUUGGGGGGCGUGAGAGAAGAUUUACCAAGGUACCAAUGCAAAAGGAUUUUGAGAUGAGCUCUGAUUGGCACUCCCCUUGCUAGUUGCUCAUGUCAGAUUGAUGUUCUUUAUUUUCCCCAGUGAUUUUAGGCUACAAGUUGCAAACUGGGUGUUGAAUGCUAAUGCUUUUGAAGUUGCAGCAUCAACUGAAGCCUGCACCUAUACGGCUGUACCAAUCAGAAAGGUCCAGAAAGUGGUGGUUGAAGGAGGAAGAUGUUCAGUUCUGAAGUGUACAUUGUGAUGAUCAUUGAUGUUCUUUUGUAGGUUGUGGCUCUAUUUCAAUCAGCUCCUUUUCUUCUUUUGAUCUGCUUAAGAUAGUAUAACUUGUACCGUUACCGAAUGUUGAUUUGAUAUAGCAAAUUGAUGUGAAUUCA